UACGAAGGGGGCUAGCGUUGCUCGGAAUCACUGGGCGUAAAGCGCACGUAGGCGGGUCUUUAAGUCAGGGGUGAAAUCCUGGAGCUCAACUCCAGAACUGCCUUUGAUACUGAGGAUCUUGAGUUCGGGAGAGGUGAGUGGAACUGCGAGUGUAGAGGUGAAAUUCGCAGAUAUUCGCAAGAACACCAGUGGCGAAGGCGGCUCACUGGCCCGAUACUGACGCUGAGGCACGAAAGCGUGGGGAGCAAACAGG
rnacentral:rRNA from 1 species